rnacentral:rRNA from 1 species
CAACCUACCUAUCAGAGGGGAAUAACCCGGCGAAAGUCGGACUAAUACCGCAUAAAACAGGGGCACCGCAUGGUGAUAUUUGUUAAAGAAAUUCGCUGAUAGAUGGGCAUGCGUUCCAUUAGGUAGUUGGUGAGGUAACGGCUCACCAAGCCGACGAUGGAUAGGGGAACUGAGAGGUUGGUCCCCCACACUGGUACUGAGACACGGACCAGACUCCUACGGGAGGCAGCAGUGAGGAAUAUUGGUCAAUAGGCGGGAGCCUGAACCAGCCAAGUCGCGUGAAGGAAGAAGGAUCUAUGGUUCGUAAACUUCUUUUGCAGGGGAAUAAAGUGCAGGACGUGUCCUGUUUUGUAUGUACCCUGAGAAUAAGGAUCGGCUAACUCCGUGCCAGCAGCCGCGGUAAUACGGAGGAUCCGAGCGUUAUCCGGAUUUAUUGGGUUUAAAGGGUGCGUAGGUGGUUUGAUAAGUCAGCGGUGAAAGUUUGCAGCUUAACUGUAAAAAUGCCGUUGAAACUGUCGGACUUGAGUGUAAAUGAGGUAGGCGGAAUGCGUGGUGUAGCGGUGAAAUGCAUAGAUAUCACGAAGAACUCCGAUUG